ensembl:lncRNA novel transcript
AAAUAGUCUCCAUAAUCUAAUCUCCAGAAUGCACUAAACCAGGAGAAGAUCCACCUGGAAUGGAAGAAUAUUAAGGAGAACAAGUCCUCAUCUCUCCAAAGACCCUUCAUCCUUCAUUUCACAAUAGUCUUUAUUGGUCUGCUGGAGUUUGCUGGAGGUCCACUCCAGACCCUGUUUGCCUGGGUAUCACCGGCAGAGGCUGCAGAGCAGCAAAGAUUGCUGCCUGCUCCUUCCUCUGGAAGCUUCAUCCCAAAGGGGCACCCGCCUGAUGCCAGCCAGAGCUCUCCUGUACGAGAGAUGCCCUGCCCAGUGAGGAGGAAUCUAGAGAAGCAGUCUGGCCAUAGCUUUGCUGCACUGCGCACUUCUCCUUGCUGCCGCCAUGUGAAGAAGAAUGUGUUUGCUUCCCCUUCCGCCAUGAUUGUAAGUUUCCUGAGGUCUCCUCAACCAUGCUGAACUGUGAGUCAAUUAAGCCUCUUUCAAUUAUAAAUUACCCAGUCUCAGGUAUGUCUUUAUUAGCAG